GUGGGCUGAAAAUCGGCCUCCAUAGAAAUAGAAACCGAAGUCUUCAAUUUGAACUUUUUUUUAUUGGAAUAGCUUUUGUUAGGUUUUAUUAUGUCCCAAAAUUAAUCUUAGCUAAUUUGGUUGGAAAAAUAAUUAAUUAUAAUUUUUUUUCAAAAUCUUUGUAUGGCGCGUAUCAGAAAAAACGAGUUUUCUCCGAAAAUAAAAAGUUAACCGUAAUAUCCUGACAGAUGAUUUUAAAACCAAUUAUUCUUGAUUUUUCCACAUAAUUAGAAUUUUCCUACGGGGUGCACUUUUUUUUAAAAAAUCGAUAUAUUUUUUUAUUUUUAUUAUCUUAUUUUUUUAUUUUAAUACGGUUAUACUCGUUAUUUUGACUACAAAAAAUGAAUUUGAGUUUGAUCGAACCAAUAACUUACGCGUAGUGAAUUUUUGUUCUAAGCAAAUGUAUGGAGCGUACGAGUAAAACGGAUUUUUUUUCAAAAAUUAAAGGUAUACCGUAAUAUCCUUGCAGAUGAUUUAUAGUCCUACCAAUUAUUAAUGAUAUUUUGACAUAACGCGAACUUUUCUACCGUAUGCACUUAUUUAACAAAAAAUAAAAAACUUAUUUUUUCAUGCUGAAAUAACUUUUUCUCAUUGUUUUAAUCAAAUAAAUAA